UGGGGAAUAUUGGACAAUGGGGGCAACCCUGAUCCAGCAAUGCCGCGUGUGUGAAGAAGGUCUUCGGAUUGUAAAGCACUUUCGACGGGGACGAUGAUGACGGUACCCGUAGAAGAAGCCCCGGCUAACUUCGUGCCAGCAGCCGCGGUAAUACGAAGGGGGCUAGCGUUGCUCGGAAUGACUGGGCGUAAAGGGCGUGUAGGCGGUUUACACAGUCAGAUGUGAAAUCCCCGGGCUUAACCUGGGAGCUGCAUUUGAUACGUGUAGACUAGAGUGUGAGAGAGGGUUGUGGAAUUCCCAGUGUAGAGGUGAAAUUCGUAGAUAUUGGGAAGAACACCGGUGGCGAAGGCGGCAACCUGGCUCAUGACUGACGCUGAGGCGCGAAAGCGUGGGG
rnacentral:rRNA from 1 species